CAAAAAACGUUCCAAAUGAGAGGACUCAUUUGGAACUGUCGAGGGGUGGGCAAGAAAGGGAUGGCCACCUGCCUCUCAGACAUGAUUAGUGACCAUUCCCUUGACUUCUUAGGUCUGCAAGAAACUAUGAAGAAAAAGUUCACACCUAAAUGUUUGAGGAGAAUUGACCCCUUUGACAUAUUCCAAUGGAACUGGGUGCCUUCUAUUGGCAAAUCUGGGGGCAUUUUGUGUGGUGUGAGGAGAGACACUCUGGAUAUAAUAUCCUGUGCUAUAGGCAAAUAUGUAUUAUAA
rnacentral:rRNA from 1 species